rnacentral:rRNA from 1 species
ACUCAAAGGAAUAGACGGGGGCCCGCACAAGCAGCGGAGCAUGUGGUUUAAUUCGAAGCAACGCGAAGAACCUUACCAGGUCUUGACAUCCAGGUAAAGCUUAAGAGAUUAGGUGUGCCUUCGGGCAAUCUGAGACAGGUGGUGCAUGGUUGUCGUCAGCUCGUGUCGUGAGAUGUUGGGUUAAGUCCCGCAACGAGCGCAACCCCUGCUGAUAGUUACUAACGAGUGAAGUUGAGGACUCUAUCGGGACCGCCGGGGACAACUCGGAGGAAGGUGGGGACGACGUCAAAUCAUCAUGCCCCUUAUGACCUGGGCUACACACGUGCUACAAUGGCCGAGACAGAGGGAAGCGAAGGAGAGAUCUGGAGCGGAUCCCAAAAAAGCGGUCACAGUUCGGAUUGUGGGCUGCAACCCGCCCACAUGAAGCCGGAGUUGCUAGUAAUCGCGAAUCAGCAUGUCGCGGUGAAUACGUUCCCGGGCCUUGUACACACCGCCCGU